rnacentral:rRNA from 1 species
UACGGAGGGUGCAAGCGUUGUUCGGAUUUACUGGGCGUAAAGGGCGUGUAGGCGGAUCGGCAAGUCGGGUGUGAAAUCUCGGAGCUUAACUCCGAAACUGCAUUCGAUACUGCCGUGCUUGAGGACUGGAGAGGAGACUGGAAUUUACGGUGUAGCGGUGAAAUGCGUAGAUAUCGUAAGGAAGACCAGUGGCGAAGGCGGGUCUCUGGACAGUUCCUGACGCUGAGGCACGAAGGCCAGGGGAGCAAACGGG